rnacentral:lncRNA from 1 species
GAUAUGUUCUUAAUUUGGAGAAGGAUCAAAGUUAGGAGUAGAAGGAUACACCAAUUUAGGUUUGUUGUUUGAUAUUAAUGAUAAAAUGUCUACAUCAUGGGGUGUGUUCCUAUGUUAAUAUCUUGGAAGGGUUCAAAAUAAUCAAUCGAUGGAAGCUGAGUACACUGUAGAUGUAUAGGAUACAUUCUGGUUCUAAUGUUAGUUACAGAAUUAAUUGUCAUGCCGUUAGAUAUCGUGACACUAUACUAUCAAGACAAUGACAUUAUAGCUCUUGCUAAGGAGCCUAGGUCUCACCAGAUAUCCAAGCACAUAGAGCAGUAGAACACGUGACUACCACAAGUAGAAAUACAUAGAGGUGCAGAGAGUAAACUCCACAUGUGAUAUGGAAACUCACUUGGUAAGUCACUUAGCUAGCCUAAGACUAAAGCCUAUCUUCUGAAGAUGAAGCUUGGUACGUGGCAGAUUGGCUUUAGUGCAAGUGGG